rnacentral:tRNA from 1 species
GGGGAUAUGGCGAAAUCGGUAGACGCUGCGGACUUAAAAUCCGUUGACUUUAAAAAUCGUGAGGGUUCAAGUCCCUCUAUCCCCA